rnacentral:rRNA from 1 species
AUACGUAGGGGGCGAGCGUUGUCCGGAAUGAUUGGGCGUAAAGGGCGCGUAGGCGGCCCGGUAAGUCUGGAGUGAAAGUCCUGUUUUUGAGAUGGGAAUUGCUUUGGAUACUGUCGGGCUUGAGUGCAGGAGAGGUAAGUGGAAUUCCCAGUGUAGCGGUGAAAUGCGUAGAGAUUGGGAGGAACACCAGUGGCGAAGGCGACUUACUGGACUGUAACUGACGCUGAGGCGCGAAAGUGUGGGGAGCAAACAGGAUUAGAUACCCUGGUAGUCCACACUGUAAACGAUGAAUGCUAGGUGUAGGGGGUAUCGACCCCUUCUGUGCCGCAGUCAACACAAUAAGCAUUCCGCCUGGGGAGUACGGCCGCAAGGUUGAAACUCAA